rnacentral:ncRNA from 1 species
UCCUGACAGCCCAUUGGGGGCUGACACUAGCCACGACAGGAGAUUGACAUG